rnacentral:rRNA from 1 species
GUCGUAACAAGGUUUCCGUAGGUGAACCUGCGGAAGGAUCAUUCGCACAUUCUCCAGUCACACUCUUGUGAAUUCUUCUGUGAGGCUUGUGUGGGAUGUGCAUUCAGCCUCCAUGCAAGUGCUCGCGGGUGGUGGGUUGUGCGGGAUGAAUCGCAUACCCGUGCAUUCCCACUGCCACUGCAUACCGCAAUCUAUCUUGAUGCAGCCUUCUGUCACUGGCAACUGCCAUGUGCAGAUCACAACUCUCAGCGAUGGAUGUCUCGGUUCGAAUAACGAUGAAGGGCGCAGCGAAGUGCGAUAAGCAUUGUGAAUUGCAGAAUUCCGUGAACCGACAGGGACUUGAACGCAUAUUGUGCUUUUGGGAUAUCCCUAAAAGCAUGCCUGCUUCAGUGUCUACUCUGUAUUGCUUCAGUGGCUGUCGCUUUUCGUCAGGCAUGCCGCUGUGAGUGUUUGUGUCUCAAGAUGUGCUUGUCCUUUUUGGUGGCACUCCUGAGACAUGCGAUUGACAAGGCUCCGUUGUGACGGUCAGCUUACUUAAGGCAUCUUUUAGCAUGCAGAUAGCUGUGCUCGUCGUGCCGUGGGCCUUGCCGUCACCUUUUGUCAGAACAAGCUUUAAGACAUGAAGUUAGGUUGGCAAACCCGCUGAAUUUAAGCAUAUAAGUAAGCGGAGGAUAAGAAACUAAAUAGGAUUCCCUCAGUAAUGGCGAAUGAACAGGGAUCAGCUCAGCAUGGAAAUUGUGGCCUUCGGCUUUGAAUUGUAAUCUCAAGAUGUGUUGCUAACGGGGGCGCAGAUGUAAGCCGCUUGGAAAAGCGAACCACUGAGGGUGAGAGUCCUGUUUGUCAUUUGCAGACCUCCGUGCACGGCAUACUUUCUAAGAGUCACGUUCCUCGGGAUUGGAGCGCAAACUGGGUGGUAAAUUUCAUCUCAAGCUAAAUAUGGGUUCGAAACCGAUAGCAAACAAGUACCAUGAGGGAAAGAUGAAAAGGACUUUGAAAAGAGAGUUAAAAGUGCCUGAACUCACUGAAAGGAAAGCGGAUGGAACCAGUGAUGCUUUGUGAGAUUGUCGUGUGCUACGGUGAUGUCCUGCUUCAUCAACGCAAGUGGUGCUGUGGGUUCUGAUCUGGACGCAUGUGAUGCUUCUCGCAUUGUGUGUUACCUUCGGUUUGGGGGUGAGGACAACUCUUGGGGCAUGGUAGCUCGGCUCCGGCUGCUCGAAUGCGCCUUGAAGAACUCACUUGCAAACCGAACAUGUAAUGUGAGGUUGUGCUGGCUCGCACUUCACCCGACCAUGCUCUCGUGCGCCGUGGUGUGGGAGUGGGUUACCUUCCUGACAUGCCCAGCGGUGACUAAGUGGUUCUAUUCGACCCGUCUUGAAACACGGACCAAGGAGUCUAACACAUGUGCGAGUUCAUGGGUGGUGAAACUUGUGUGCACAAUGAAAGUGACUACUGAGAUGUUUGCAUCAGCAGCCGACCGAUCGACUGGGAGAGGUUUGAGCAUGAGCAUAUCUGUUAGGACCCGAAAGAUGGUGAACUAUGCGUGA